rnacentral:rRNA from 1 species
GACGAACGCUGGCGGCAGGCCUAACACAUGCAAGUCGAACGCUGAAGCUUGGGGCUUGGACUGGGUGGUGGAGUGGGGAAGGGGUGAGUAAUAUGUAUGUAACCUGGCCUUGACUCGGGGAUAAGCCUGGGGAACUGGGUCUUAUUCUGGAUACGACAUGCCGGUGCAUGGUGGUGGGUGGAAAGGGUUUUACUGGUUUUGGAUGGGCUCACGGCCUAUCAGCUUGUUGGUGGGGUAAUGGCCUACCAAGGCGACGACGGGUAGCCGGCCUGAGAGGGUGACCGGCCACACUGGGACUGAGACACGGCCCAGACUCCUACGGGAGGCAGCAGUGGGGAAUAUUGCACAAUGGGCGGAAGCCUGAUGCAGCGACGCCGCGUGAGGGAUGACGGCCUUCGGGUUGUAAACCUCUUUCAGCACGGAAGAAGCGAGAGUGACGGUACGUGCAGAAGAAGCGCCGGCUAACUACGUG